GCUAAAUUCAAAUGAAGAAUUCAAAUGGGGGACAAGAGGUUGUGUUUAGGUAUGUCCAUCUCUGCUGCUUGAGAGGCUCAGGUCUGGCCCCCAGGUAAAUUGCUCUGUGAUUCUUAACCUAAAUGGCAAUUAAACAAUCCUCUGGAUCCUGGAUCUUACUGAAUAUUCACUACUAAAGAGAUGACAAAAUUUCAUUGAAGGGGGGGGAAUUAAAUGAAGACAAGGAUGCCAUGUUGAAUGUCCUUCCAUAAAUGAAAGAGAGACAGCAUUAAAGAUCAAGUUGAAGCUUUCUAUUUCUCAUCCCUUGUUCCUUUUUCUUCUCUUACCCAAAGGUUUCUUUUCAUAUUUUGGAGUCAAUAAAUCUUUCAUCAGGUCUCAAACAUUUAAAAGGCCCUUGCAAAGCUGGUAGACCGUGCACCCC